UUGAGAAGUAAUCAAUACAAUUAGCUUCGACCUAACAAUAGGGUACGCCCCUCAUAAU
rnacentral:tRNA from 1 species